rfam:Schistosoma curassoni strain Dakar, Senegal genome assembly, scaffold: SCTD_scaffold0004467
AUUCAGCUGACGAGUCCCGAAUAGGACGAAACACGCGUCCUCAAU